rnacentral:rRNA from 1 species
UCGGGAAUUUUGGGCAAUGGGCGAGAGCCUGACCCAGCAACGCCGCGUGAAGGAUGAAAUCCCUCGGGAUGUAAACUUCGCAAGAACGGGAAGAGUAAGUAAGAGUUAACAUCUCUUAUGAUGACGGUACUGUUUGUAAGCUCCGGCUAACUCCGUGCCAGCAGCCGCGGUAAUACGGGGGGAGCAAGCGUUGUUCGGAUUUACUGGGCGUAAAGGGCGCGUAGGCGGCCACCGCAAGUCGACUGUGAAAUCUCCGGGCUUAACUCGGAAAGGUCAGCCGAUACUGCGGGGCUAGAGUGCAGAAGGGGCAACUGGAAUUCUCGGUGUAGCGGUGAAAUGCGUAGAUAUCGAGAGGAACACCUGCGGCGAAGGCGGGUUGCUGGGCUGACACUGACGCUGAGGCGCGAAAGCUAGGGGAGCGAACGGGAUUAGAUACCCCGGGUAGUCCUAGCCUUAAACGAUGAAUGCUUGGUGUCUGGGGUUUUAUAGGUCCCCGGGUGCCGUCGCUAACGCUUUAAG